rnacentral:lncRNA from 1 species
CACGCGCCAAGCCAAAUAGUGUGCGUUGGGAUUUCCAAAUGAGAGAAGCGCGUGGAAGUCACAAAAUCCGGUUGGGCUAAUUGGGCUUGGUGGGCCGAGUUUCUAUUACGGUCCGUUAACACGAAGAUGGUGGUGAAGAGAUUUUUCUGCCGGCGAUCUUCGAUCACUUUAGCCGCUUUCUUAACGGCAUCAUUAACACUCAUUCCGUCGCCAUCACCGGAAAUAUCGUCGACGAUUCUUCUAGCUAAUCGCCUUCCGUUCGCCGUCAUUCUCCGUAACGGCGUCAAUCGCUUCGAGCUCGACGAGAACGAGACCAUCGAUAAACGAUCCGUUUCUCGUAGAGACGAUAUAACUUGCCUCAUCGCUCGCUUCACCAUCUCAAUAUUCCCUCCGCUAACGUCAAUAACCGUUACAAGAUCCACCGGAGAUCUACGCGCCGUCGGUAACGACGGAGAUUUGAUUUUCAUGAGCACCGAGUACGUCUCGUUACCUCUCCCAACCGCCACAAUUGCAGCUUCUGAAGACAGCUUAACGUCCACGUGUCCAGUAACGGAAUCCGUUAACAUUUUCUUCGUCGUUAACGGUGACGGCGUGUUAACGUAAAACCCUUUAAAUUCUCCGUCAUCGUUAUCUUCUUCUUCUUCGUCUUCGUUUGAUUCCGGUAUAGUGUUGAAACCGGUACGAGAGAUUGGAGAUGAAAUCAAAGGCUCGUCGUCGUUGUAAACUCUUAACGAUUUGUUAUUGUUCUUUGAUUCUCGGAUCUUGGAAUCGGAUUCGGAUCCAGAUUCGUGGAGAGAAGAAGAGAGAGACAGAGGAAGAAGCGAAGUUUCUCUCCAUGAAGCACCACAAACAGGACAAUCGGAGAGUAGAUUCCGAUCACCGGCGCGUGAAGCUACGCAAGGGAAAUGAAACGUAUGUGAACAUUCCGCCGUGAAAAUCGCCGUUCCUCUUCCAGCUUUCGCGCUUUGUAAACAAAUUCCACAUUUGCUACUACUGAUGCUACUCUGUUCAUAACACAAACAGUUUUGAUUUGAGUAGAGAAAAGCUCGCCGGAGAUUUAGGUGAGGAAGGUGUAGAAGAAGAAGAAGAAACGCUGAGGAAAGAGAGAGGACUUCUGUUUCUCGUCGGAGUAACGUCCCCGGAAGUAUCGCAUUGAAGCUUGGGACUAGCGGGAAGAGACGGUGAAGGAGUGGAGAUAGCUGUAGCAGACCAACUCUGACAAGGAAUGGUAGGAGAGCAGGUUACAGAAUCGGGUCGGGUCUCAGACCUUGGAGUAGACGGGUUAGAGAAAAACCCGAAUCUUGAAGUUGUUGUUGGUUUUUGUCGAUCAAGUGAAUCAUCGACUCUGUUGUUGUCUUUCUUUUUAUGAAUCGAACUCCAAAACGUUCUUCUCAAACCAUUCAUCAUCUUCAACUUCUUUACUUACUAUUUCUUCGUAGUGACUUCAACUUUAGAUUGAUGAGAGGAAAGGAAAUGUUUUUGAGGUUUUAAUGUAAGACAGAGAGUGGAGAGAUAGAGAUAGAUAAAGAAGAACAAGAGAAAAUGGUGGGGUUU